UACCGGAAGUAGAGUUUUAGGAUGGAGAAGAAAUCAAGAUGAGUAAAAAACCUUCUAAAACGUAACAAAAGAGCACUUAUGUUUUAAUUUUUGUAUAAAGGACACUAAAAUGUGCGCUGCUGGACACCUAGAUAUCUCCAGAAGAAACCCCCAAGAUGAUUUUGAGCUUAUUCAACGCAUUGGAAGCGGGACCUACGGUGAUGUGUACAAGGCAAGAAACAUCGCCACCAAUGAACUGGCUGCAAUCAAAGUCAUCAAGUUGGAACCAGGAGGCAGCAGACUUGCUUAUAUACAUUAGUAGAUU